rnacentral:tRNA from 1 species
GCGUCGGUAGUUCAGUGGUAGAAUACUCGCCUGCCACGCGGGUGACCCGGGUUCGAUUCCCGGCCGACGCA